rnacentral:tRNA from 1 species
GCCCAGGUGUUGGAAUUGGUAGACAAGCACGUUUGAGGGGCGUGUGCCGCAAGGUGUACGGGUUCGAGUCCCGUCCUGGGUA